UACGGGGGGGGCAAGCGUUGUUCGGAAUUACUGGGCGUAAAGGGCUCGUAGGCGGCCAACUAAGUCGGACGUGAAAUCCCCAGGCUCAACCUGGGAACUGCGUCCGAUACUGGAUGGCUUGAAUUCGGGAGAGGGAUGCAGAAUUCCAGGUGUAGCGGUGAAAUGCGUAGAUAUCUGGAGGAAUACCGGUGGCGAAGGCGGCAUCCUGGACCGACAUUGACGCUGAUGAGCGAAAGUUAGGGGAGCAAACGGG
rnacentral:rRNA from 1 species